rnacentral:lncRNA from 1 species
AAGCCCAAUCGCUGGCCCUUCAGCCAGGUCCCAGGUGGUGCUAACGUCCCUGGUCGUGGGACCACGCUUCGGCUCUCACUGCUCGGUUGGCGAAGCCUCCUGUGCCACCUUCCCUGCCAUUCUCAGCCAGUCCGGGCUCGCGUGACAUGUCCCUGAAUUACUGCCACACCUUCCACACCAUCUUGUCACAGGCAGAACCAAGGCUCAGCCCAGCUGCCCAGUGACCAGGGCUGCCCCCUCCGGGGAGGGGCUCCAAGGGGCAGGUGCCGAGGACAGGGGAGCCCGAUGGCAGCCUCAGGAGUGGGAUCCUGUGCUGGUCCUCAUAGGCCUCCCAGUGUCUAUUGUAGAAUCAUAUCCUGCCAUCUUGGUCAAAUGUGAACAAAACAUGGUUGAGAAGGUAAGGUGAGCCAUAAAAGAUCCCAGCAAGCAUUGCUUAGUUGUGAUAGUAAAAUCCUUG